rnacentral:rRNA from 1 species
UACGUAGGGACCAAGCGUUGUUCGGAUUUACUGGGCGUAAAGGGCUCGUAGGCGGCCAACUAAGUCAGACGUGAAAUCCCUCGGCUUAACCGGGGAACUGCAUCUGAUACUGGAUGGCUUGAGUUCGGGAGAGGGAUGCGGAAUUCCAGGUGUAGCGGUGAAAUGCGUAGAUAUCGGGAGGAACACCAGUGGCGAAGGCGGUUGCCUGGAGCUUUGCUGACGCUGAGGCGCGAAAGCGUGGGGAGCGAGUCCGG